rnacentral:misc_RNA from 1 species
GAAGUGUGCAAAUGCAGACACCCUCCUCAAGCUCACUUCAACCGCGUGUGCGUGUGUGUGUGUGUGUGUGUGGGUGGGUGGGUGUGGGUGUCACUGCCUCAUCACCACCACGAAACACUCGUCGCAACAGGCGAUCACGUAUGCUCAUGUGCCCUAGCCAGGAUGCUGCGGAGACGGUGCGAAUGGAGUCGUCCAAUACCGGUGCUUGGCGAGAGGUGAACGCUUGUGCGGUGCCGCAUUCCUCCAAAACCCGCUAGCGGACCUAAAAGGCCGUUGCACCCAGCGUCACGAAAGGCGCGACAUCAACGUUGCACCAACGGCGCGGCCGCGUGAUGGGGCAGCUCUACUGGAGCAUCUGCGUUGCGCUGACGUUGAUGACGCUCUUCCUCACUGAGCUUCUACUAGCGCGGUCGGUGUUGAGGCCUGUUGUGCCCACAGCCUCGGUCGGCCAUGCGGGAGCCGAUCAAAUGAAGGCUGGGCAGCGAGCGGUGGCGUCAUCGUCAUCAACGUCGCGACCACCGGCGUCCACGGAGGCUGCGGUGGGCAGCAGGGAGAACGAUGCUGCGGCGACGGCAGCCGGCAAAAGGGGUGGCAUCGACGAAGAGCCGCUGCCACCCACGGCUCACGUACUGUGGGUCAAUGCCUCGCCGGCCCUGGCCUCACCUGAUGUGAUGUCAUCAGUGCACGAAUCGGCAUCGGCACCCCUGCACGAGCAGGUGGCCGACGCAAACCGUUCAGCCGUCACUGAAAGGAAUGCCGCAGAAACGACAACCAACGCGGAGACGUUGCAUUCACUAGUCGAAGAGUAGCUGACCUCAUUGGUCCACCCGAGUGCCGCCACCGGAAAUCCGUCGCAGCAGCAGUAGCAGCAGCAGCACCCCGACCCCUGUCACACAUGUGCCACCACCACAGCCGCCGAAACAGCAAGAUGAGGAAGACAUGCGUGAUAGCCCUAUGCCCCCUCUACGUCCUGCGCCGUAGGCUAAAGGUGAUCGCAGUGUUCGCCUGUGCCACUCGCUCUCCAUUCUUACCGUCCUGGCAGGUACGCCCUUGACGGCGCCGAGAGUCUCGGGGCGAUGCCACCAGCCGCAUCCAAGACAAGGAAGUGCGGCUGCUGAAGAGGGCCGCCGUAGGCCUCUACCGGUUGGGCACGGCGCAGCACGUCAGCUUCCACGAGUGGCUCCUUGUUCACAGCAAAGUGCUGGAGGUGGCGGCGCAGAAGAGUGAGGAGGCCACGGUGCGGGCGUGGUGGCGCGUGGCGUGCAGCGAACAGGAGGCAGCAGCGGCCCCCUGUGACGGGGCGGACCUCUGCCUCGAAGCGGAUGCCGCAUGUGCGCGUGGCGGGGCUGCCACACACAUCACUCACGAGUCCUCUAAUGGCGAAGUUGGCGUUCGCGCUCCUGCACGGCGUCCGGCUUGUCGUGACGGAGUACGUCGCUCUUCACAACCUGCAGUGAACCUUGACGGGGGCGAGCAGGCUUGUCUUCGGUGGCGCAGCAGACGCGACGAGUGCUGCGUCCAUCGGACGCGUCGACUCGGCUAACUCCAACACUUCGCCCUCUUCAAAUGGCAACGUUGUGCAGAGCGAAAUCACGCUAGCUCCUCAGACGCUAUCGAAGAACGCCUGCCCAGAUCUGCCAACGAAUGUGGUGAACCAGGAGCGCAGCGGCACCACAGAGGGCGUGCAUGCAUACCGCCUGCAAGUGUGCGCGUCGCAGGAAUGGCGCCAGCCAGAGCGCGAGGCGGGACUGCAAUUCAAGCUGAUCGCCUACGUGCAGAAGAUUCGGUUUCCAACUACAACAUCCCCUUCUGUGGUGGCGUCGGUCCACAAACCCAUCUCAGACGCCCUCAUCUCAAGUGCCGCCACCGCCAGAAACGCCAAUGCCACCGCUGGUGCUGAGGCGACUGCAACGAGUGAGAUGCCGAUGCAGAAUGGGCUGCACAUUGUAGCUUACAGCGCAUCCGCUCAAUUCCACUGCCAACGCGCGCCUCUCUACGGCACCCGCAUACUGGCUCCGCCGCUCUCGGCACACAUCUGAAGCACCGUCUCCACCCCUCACGACUCUCUGCGAGGCGCUCGUCAGCAGCCAGUUGGGGCUUGGUGAUGCACACGCCUUUCAGGGGAGCACCUUCUACCGCGUUUUCUGCCAGGAGUGGCUGCAGUUCGCGCUGCUUCCGAGCCCCAAGGCACCGGCACAUGGAAACGCCAAGCUGGACGCAGCAUCCGAAGCCGAGGUGGCGGGCCUCAUGGUCACCCUGCGCAAGUCCCCGGCACAGCGCGAGAGCGACGUCGAGGUGUAGCAGAUGGACAUGGCGCAAAGACUCGGCGACGGGUUGUGCACGGUGGAGUGGGUGGCACACCUGAAGGCAGCACAGCUGCACUACCGCGAGAUGGCUGAGCGUAAGCGCUGGCGUGCCGAUAAUCUGGCGUGCUCAACGACUACCACAGCCACAAGCAAUAUAGCCGGACUUGCCGCCCAUCCACCCGCCUCUCCUGCGGCGCCAGCAGCCGUGCCGCGGCUCUCCCUCUCUAACGCAGCUGGGUGGUCGCCGUACUUGAACCAGUACGCGACGCUUCUCUUCUCCGAAAACACGGCGCAGCUCUCGCGAGUGGCUGGCACAUACCUCUCGUUUCUGCCGAACGUCAGCUACGCCCUCCAGCACAUCCGGCGCACGAUGGAAAGCAAGCUUGCCUCUGUAUCUCUCAAGUGCACGGUAGAACGGACACGGCGCUUCACCUCCGUGAAGCAGCCAACCGACCGAGAAGUUGUCUGCCUUCCCUCCCACCUCUUCCGCGUGCACCGGCACGCUGCCAUGUAGAAUACGCAGUGGUUCCUGAGUUACCUAGGCUUGCGAUGCGUGCAGCACAAGAGCUCCUGCCUCGGCGGCCUCUUCGAGUCGGAGAAGCGCACCCUCCAGAACAUGGACCGCUACCUCUCGACCACCGGCAAGUGGAGCCGCGGCGAGUUCCGCGUCUGCAUGUCGGCUGGCAUGUACGUCUCGGACCCCUCGAAUGAGCUUUUAUGAUACCGUGCGACGAACAGGCAGCCGUGCUCGCUGUGUCUGCCUAUGUGGGGAGGGAGGGCUGUCUGCGGGCCAACUGCUCAUCCAUGCGCAGCGCGCUGUGCAUGUGUGUAGAGGUGUGAUGGAUGAGCGGGAGGGCGCAGACCCAAGGAAAAACUCAACUGAUGCAUCAGGUGUGCCCCGUUGGAGGUGCAGACAUACGCAAGCGCGUGCAGGCAGCAUCAGCCCUUGGAUUCUACCGUCUCUGUGCCUGUGCCCGUGUCUUUCGCCCAUUCGCAGACAAGCAGGCACGCGCACUAUGCACGCAAGCGUACCAUCACCGUUAUGCCCCCCCCUCCUACUUCGUCCACCACUACGACCACCCCACCUGUGCUCUCCCUAUCCCGCUUGUGCGUUGUCUUAUGGCACAG